AAAGUAAGAGAUACAAUAUCCAUGCCCCCCUCAUACGAUCAUCUGAGCUGUUAUCACAAGUGAAGUUCUCGUGUGCUUGCAUCCACGCAUCUUUAAUAG